UACGAAAGGUGCAAGCGUUACUCGGAAUCACUGGGCGUAAAGCGCACGUAGGCGGACUCGUAGGUCAAUUGUGAAAUACCUGGGCUCAACCCAGGAACUGCAGUUGAAACCACUUGUCUUGAAUACCUGAGAGGGUGGGGGAAUACCUGGUGGAGAAGUGAAAUUCGUAGAGAUCAGGUAGAACACCGGAGGCGAAGGCGCCUGCCUGGCAGUGUAUUGACGCUGAGGUGCGAAAGUGCGGGGAGCAAACAGG
rnacentral:rRNA from 1 species